rnacentral:rRNA from 1 species
UCGCUACCUGGUGACAGGAUGCCAAUCUCAAAAUCCGGUCUUAGUUCGGAUUGGAGUCUGUAACCCGACUCCAUGAAGUUGGAUUCGCUAGUAAUCGCGGAUCAGCAUGCCGCGGUGAAUACGUUCCCGGGCCUUGUACACACCGCCCGUCACACCAUGAGAGUCGGGAACACCCGAAGUCCGUAGUCUAACCGCAAGGAGGGCGCGGCCGAAGGUGGGUCCGGUAAUUGGGGUGAAGUCGUAACAAGGUAUC